rnacentral:rRNA from 1 species
AGUGAACGCUGGCGGUAGGCCUAACACAUGCAAGUCGAACGGCAGCACAGUAAGAGCUUGCUCGUACGGGUGGCGAGUGACGGACGGGUGCGGAAUACAUCGGAAUCUACUUUUUCGUGGGGGAUAACGUAGGGAAACUUACUCUAAUACCGCAUACGACCUACGGGUGAAAGCAGGGGAUCUUCUAACCUUGCGCGAUUGAAUGAGCCGAUGUCGGAUUAGCUAGUUGGCGGGGUAAAGGCCCACCAAAGCGACGAUGCGGAGCUGGUCUGAGAGGGUGGACAGCCACACUGGACCUGAGGAACGGCCCAGACUCCUACGCUGCGCCGCAGUGGGGAGUGUUGGGCAAUGCGCGAAGGCAUGAUCCAGCACUACCGAGUGAAGGAAGAAGGACUUAGGGUUGUAAAGCGAUUAUGUUGGGAAAGAAAAGCAGCAGGUUAAUCCGCCGCUGUUCUGACGGUACCCAAAGAAUAAGCACCGGCUAACUUCGUG